rnacentral:rRNA from 1 species
GAUGAACGCUGGCGGCGUGCUUAACACAUGCAAGUCGAACGAGAAGUGAAGACGGAAACCUUCGGGCGGAAGGCUUUAUUUCGAGUGGCGGACGGGUGAGUAACGCGUGGGUAACCUGCCUCAUACAGGGGGAUAACAGUUGGAAACGACGGUUAAUACCGCAUAAGACCACAGCACCGCAUGGUGCGGGGGUAAAAACUCCGGUGGUAUGAGAUGGACCCGCGUUCGAUUAGCCAGUUGGCGGGGUAACGGCCCACCAAAGCGACGAUCGAUAGCCGAUCUCAGAGGAUGACCGGCCACAUUGGGACUGAGACACGGCCCAAACUCCUACGGGAGGCAGCAGUGGGGAAUAUUGCACAAUGGGGGAAACCCUGAUGCAGCGACGCCGCGUGAGUGAAGAAGUAUUUCGGUAUGUAAAGCUCUAUCAGCAGGGAAGAAAAUGACGGUACCUGAGUAAGAAGCCCCGGCUAACUACGUG